rnacentral:rRNA from 1 species
CCCUUAGAUGUCCUGGGCCGCACGCGCGCUACACUGAUGCAUUCAACGAGUAUUUCCUUGGCCGAGAGGCCUGGGCAAUCUUUUAAACCUGCAUCGUGAUAGGGGUAGAUUAUUGCAAUUAUUAAUCUUGAACGAGGAAUUCCUAGUAAACGCAAAUCAUCAAUUUGCAUUGAUUACGUCCCUGCCCUUUGUACACACCGCCCGUCGCACCUACCGAUUGAAUGGUCCGGUGAAAUCUCGGGAUUGUGGCCAGUUCACUUUAUUGGGAGUUGGCUGCGAGAACUUGCUUAAACCUUAUCAUUUAGAGGAAGGUGAAGUCGUAACA